GCGAGAGUAGCCGAGUCGGUCAAAGGCGCUGGAUUUAGGGUCCAGUCGUGUAGACGUUCGCAGGUUCGAAUCCUGCCUCUCGCA
rnacentral:tRNA from 1 species